ACCCUGGAGUUGGCGGGCAACGCCGUCGGAACAAGAAGAAGACCCGCAUCAUCCCGCGCCACCUGCAGCUGGCCAUCCGCAACGACAAGGAGCUCGACAAGCUGCUGGCCCGAGUGACAAUGGCUUAGGGUGACGUUUUGCCCAACAUCCAAGCUGUGCUGCUGUCCCAAAGGAUUGGGAGCCACUACCACAAAGUCCAGUAUGAAUAACCACGCAAGUUGUAAAAGCCAGCGAAGUGACUUGAAUGUCUAAUGUGUAGAAGAAACAAAAACAAAAACAAAAACCCCAAAGCUGAAAUCAAAGGCCCUUUUCAGAGCCACUCAAUUUCUGAGAAAGAGCUAGUUUACAAUAGAUUUACACAAUGCUGUUUCGUCAAUAAGACUACAGCUUUCGUAAACAGGACUCAGAACAGUUCUGGUUAUUGGGGUAUCCGAAGCAGUUUCCUUUAACACUCGGUAGUAUUGACAGCAGAACUUGAUGUUUCUGGGUGGAACUGUUUCAGCACCUACUUCAGGCUUUUGCAUUUCUGAUGACUGGAUGGCCCCACUGGAUCCAUGACUCUUGACUCAACUGGUCCUAUGGCCACUACUCAGAAGUGGACUCAGCUUCAGGAAGGCCAUUUUCCCUAUCCCUAUGAUUGCUUUCUCAAUCAAUCAGCAGCACCCAUUCCCUGGCCCCCUGCUUGCCAAACUAUCUUUGAAAAACCCUAGCCUCCAAAUUUUCGGCGAGGUUAGUUUGAGUAGUAAUAAAACUCUAGUCUCCCUUCUAGCCUGUUUUACAUGUAUUAAACUGUUUCUCUAUUGCAAUUUCCUUAUAUUGAUAAAUUGGCUUUAUCUGGGCAGCAGGCAAAAGAAACCCAUUGGGUGGUUACAACCGCUAUUACAACCAGUAAUAUAUGACCAUCAUAUGGCACCCAAAUAACAUGAUUUUGGAAAUAAAAGUUACUGCCUUCCAAUGAAA